UACGAAGGGUGCAAGCGUUAUUCGGAAUUAUUGGGCGUAAAGGGCGCGUAGGCGGUUCUUCAAGUCUCUCGUGAAAUCCCUCGGCUUAACUGAGGACGUGCGGGAGAUACUGAAGGGCUUGAGUCCGGAAGAGGGUGGUGGAAUUCCUGGCGUAGCGGUGAAAUGCGCAGAUAUCAGGAAGAACACCAAUGGCGAAGGCAGCUCUCUGGACGGUACUGACGCUGAGACGCGAAAGCGUGGGGAGCGAACAGG
rnacentral:rRNA from 1 species